rnacentral:lncRNA from 1 species
CUUAAACAAAACUGUGGGAUUUUUAGUCCCUAGUUUGGCCCUAGUUGUGCUUAUCUGUGGGUACCAGUGGACCUUGGCCCAUGCAUGGACCUUCUGGCUUAGUUGCAGGCCUGCCCUGUCACUAUGGGCCUGUCUAGUAGUCUCUGGACUUUCUCUCAUCAUGAUGUUGAGCUGUGGAUUGACCACCCAGCUUGACUUCAUACCUGUGUCAUCAGUGUGGACUUUCCUGCUAACUGGGGCUUGUGGUUGAAGCUGGCUCCUGUUCCUAGAGCUGCACUGCUAUUCUGAUGUAGUACUCUGGGAUAGGCUCUGUCCAGCCCUCAGUUCCUGCCUCUCCAUCCUGCUGGGAGAAGAUGUGGAUUAGUCAAGACGACACUAAAGUCAUCCAACCUGAAGCAGGAGUCUGGGAGCUCAUUCUGGUUGCAGCCUUCCUGUUGGGACUGGGGAGAAUUCUGCAGAGAAAUAGGCCAACUAAGCGAUUUAGUUUUCUUUUAAUUCUUGUUUGUCUCAUGGUGUUACCAUAUGGAGGAGGCACACAGCAGUUUGUAACAGACACCUGUGCAGAUGAUGGUCCACUAGUGCCAAGUGGUGGCAGUCAAAAAUUUAUGAAAAAUGAGUAUGCCAUGGAUGCAAGGAAAGGCCAUGACCCAGGACCAUGUCAUUGGACUACUGAUAUCAUCUCAUACAACAGGCCUAUCCAAAAUUGUGAUGGCCAUGUCCUGCUGAGAUCUGCAACUCCAGCCAAGGCAAAGCAGAGGGCUCCAGCUAAUGGCUGCUGGAACAGAGCGACCUAAUUGGAGGCAGGUUUGGGAAGAGCAGCAGUGGACACUGGAGUCUGCAUUCUGGAAAAGAGGAGCCAGUGUUGGAUGCCUAAAACCGUCAGCUGCACUUUACAGCUAUGCUUUUUAAUAUUUUUAACAGGCUAUGCUUAAGAGCAGCUAAUUUACUGCAUGUCUCAAUAGCAGUCUGAAACUAUCGAGCAUCUAUAAGAACAGGGAAAUCAGUGAGCAGCUCUAGAGACACGGCCAUCAUUUCAACAUGUGCAUUUGCAUAUUCCAUCUAAUGCCUGAAGUCAGAUGCCUAAAAUUAGUAGAUUUAUUUGGAUGUGUGGAAAUAAUUGUAAUUUGUUUCACAGCAAUCAAUUUGUGAUGCUUUGAUUUCCCUUUCUACAGAAUUAAAUUAUUAAGGGGCAAAUAUGAUUUUCAAGAUACUUUUUAUCAUUCCCUCUGCUUGAAGUUUUGUCAAGUUUGACACGCUAUAACCCAACGUUCAACCACAAGUAAUAAAUAUUAAAAAUAAAAAUCA